GAUCUCUCAACAGUGCAACAACUAACCAGUGAAAGGACUAAGUGCUCGAACAAGGACUAAGUGAGCAAACAAGGAUUCAGUGUUCGCAAACGGAUUAAGUUAGUUCUACGAAAGUUCUCAAAAUCAGUGUUCAUACUCUGAGUGCUCUCAAAGGAGUUGCACCAGCCCCUUGCUAUAUUCUAAGAGUGCGCUCAAGAAAGCCGCACCUGUCAGCUUUAUUCUACUCUUCCUGGUCGCGCUCAAGAAAGUCGCGCCGGAUUUCCUUUCUAGCUGAGUGCGCUCAAGAAAGUCGCACCAGUUACUACCUGUCGCGUCGUUUCUUCCCUUCGCUUGGAGUGCGCUCGAGAAAGUCGCACCGGCAGCUCAAGUCUACCUGCGAUGAAGGUAAAUCAAGGUAAACGCAGUCGCAGACCCACUCGUCGAGGUGGUGUUAAGCAACGAGCUAGG